GACGAACGCUGGCGGCGUGCUUAACACAUGCAAGUCGAACGGUGAAGCUCCAGCUUGCUGGAGUGGAUCAGUGGCGAACGGGUGAGUAACACGUGAGCAACCUGCCCCUGACCCUGGAAUAAGCGCUGGAAACGGCGUCUAAUACUGGAUACGAGAAGGGUCCGCAUGGGCACUUUCUGGAAAGUUUGUCGGUUGGGGAUGGGCUCGCGGCCUAUCAGCUUGUUGGUGAGGUAAUGGCUCACCAAGGCGACGACGGGUGGCCGGCCUGAGAGGGCGACCGGCCACACUGGGACUGAGACACGGCCCAGACUCCUACGGGAGGCAGAAGUGGGGAAUAGUGCACAAUGGGCUAAAGCCUGAUGCAGCGACGCCGCGUGGGGGAUGACGGCCUUCGGGUUGUAAACCUCUUUCAGCAGGGAAGAAGCGAAAGUGACGGUACCUGCAGAAGAAGCACCGGCUAACUACGUG
rnacentral:rRNA from 1 species